AGUCGAACGGGAUGCUUCGGCAUCUAGUGGCGGACGGGUGAGUAACGCGUGAGAAUCUGCCCUCAGAACCGGGACAACAGCUGGAAACGGCUGCUAAUACCGGAUGAGCCUACGGGUAAAAGAUUAAUCGUCUGAGGAUGAGCUCGCGUCAGAUUAGCUAGUUGGAGUGGUAACGGCACACCAAGGCAAUGAUCUGUAGCUGGUCUGAGAGGAUGACCAGCCACACUGGGACUGAGACACGGCCCAGACUCCUACGGGAGGCAGCAGUGGGGAAUUUUCCGCAAUGGGCGCAAGCCUGACGGAGCAAGACCGCGUGGGGGAGGACGGUUUGUGGACUGUAAACCCCUUUUAUCAGAGAAGAACACAAUGACGGUAUCUGAUGAAUCAGCCUCGGCUAACUCCGUGCCAGCAGCCGCGGUAAUACGGAGGAGGCAAGCGUUAUCCGGAAUUAUUGGGCGUAAAGCGUCCGUAGGUGGCAGUUCAAGUCCAUUGUCAAAGCGUGGAGCUUAACUCCAUAAAGGCAGUGGAAACUGAAUCGCUGGAGUGCGACAGGGGCAAGGGGAAUUCCUAGUGUAGCGGUGAAAUGCGUAGAGAUUAGGAAGAACACCGGUGGCGAAAGCGCCUUGCUGGGUCUGCACUGACACUGAUGGACGAAAGCUAGGGGAGCGAAAGGGAUUAGAUACCCCUGUAGUCCUAGCUGUAAACGAUGGGUACUAG
rnacentral:rRNA from 1 species